rnacentral:rRNA from 1 species
CCUACGGCCGGCAGCAGUGGGGAAUAUUGCACAAUGGGCGCAAGCCUGAUGCAGCCAUGCCGCGUGUGUGAAGAAGGCCUUCGGGUUGUAAAGCACUUUCAGCGGGGAGGAAGGCGGUGAGGUUAAUAACCUCAUCGAUUGACGUUACCCGCGGAAGAAGCACCGGCUAACUCCGUGCCAGCAGCCGCGGUAAUACGGAGGGUGCAAGCGUUAAUCGGAAUUACUGGGCGUAAAGCGCACGCAGGCGGUCUGUCAAGUCGGAUGUGAAAUCCCCGGGCUCAACCUGGGAACUGCAUUCGAAACUGGCAGGCUAGAGUCUUGUAGAGGGGGGUAGAAUUCCAGGUGUAGCGGUGAAAUGCGUAGAGAUCUGGAGGAAUACCGGUGGCGAAGGCGGCCCCCUGGACAAAGACUGACGCUCAGGUGCGAAAGCGUGGGGAGCAAACAGGAUUAGAUACCGAGUAGUC